UACGUAGGAGGCAAGCGUUGUCCGGAAUCACUGGGCGUAAAGAGCUCGUAGGCGGUCUGUCGCGUCGGCUGUGAAAACUCGGGGCUCAACUCCGAGCUUGCAGUCGAUACGGGCAGGCUAGAGUUCGGCAGGGGAGACUGGAAUUCCUGGUGUAGCGGUGAAAUGCGCAGAUAUCAGGAGGAACACCGGUGGCGAAGGCGGGUCUCUGGGCCGAUACUGACGCUGAGGAGCGAAAGCGUGGGGAGCGAACAGG
rnacentral:rRNA from 1 species